CAUUUAUGGAGAGUUUGAUCCUGGCUCAGGACGAACGCUGGCGGCGUGCUUUACACAUGCAAGUCGAACGGUGAAGGGGAGCUUGCUCCCUGGAUCAGUGGCGAACGGGUGAGUAACACGUGGGCAAUCUGCCCCUGAUUCUGGGAUAACUACUCGAAAGAGUGGCUAAUACCGGAUACUCACGCUGGGAGGCAUCUUCCGGCGUGGAAAGCUCCGGCGAUCAGGGAUGAGCCCGCGGCCUAUCAGCUAGUUGGUGGGGUAGUGGCCCACCAAGGCGACGACGGGUAGCCGGCCUGAGAGGGCGACCGGCCACACUGGGACUGAGACACGGCCCAGACUCC
rnacentral:rRNA from 1 species